AGGCACACAGAGCAGUAAAUUAACAACAGUGCAAGUAGACAAAACAUUUUAACCUAAAUAUAAAGUGUCAAUUUAAAUACAACUUAAAGCUUAAACUUAACUUAAAAUACAAAAUAUAAAGGAGUAGAUAUAAGUGGACAGUGAUCGGACUGACAGAUUGACCAGAUGUAAACAGAACUAUGUGCAGUAAACGAGAAAUAAAUAUAUA